rnacentral:lncRNA from 1 species
AGAAGACAAACAAAGAGCUUUAAGAACUUUGUAAAAAUACAGUAGAAGAACACAAGAAUACAGAGAAAACAUAACAAAAGAACAUAUAAACACAGUGAGAUAAACAUGUGAGAGCAGGGUAUAGACACGCAGUAGAAAAAUGAAAUAUUAGAAAGCAGAGAAUAACGUGUGUGGUAGAAAGGAACAUAUGAGCACAUUAGAGACAAAUACACACAAAAAAAAGGGAAAAGAAAAGUCGGAGAAACAUUUUAAGUAUUUCAAAAAACGCUAAAUCGAAAAAGAGUCGAUUUUGAAAGCAAAGAUAGGGAAAUCGUUUGAAAACUCAAAUAGAGCAUGGAUAUACAACAAAUAUAGAAAGAUCAGAGAAAAACCUCGAGGGGUUUUAGAAGAACCCUAAAAUGAGAAAGGCUUUAAAAGGUCACUGAUUGGAGUAGGAGAAGCUAGAAUCAGGCUCAGAAGACCAAGAUACGCCAGAGCAAGGACGGCGAUGGCCGUGAAACCUCGAGCUGGCAAAGGUUCUGAUGAAGACCUUCCAGGUCUGGCCUCGAAUCUUCAAGUAUCGAGCACACAUGAGUAACAGGAGGUGAGUGUAAGACUACCAUGGCCAGAGGAGCCAUGGUUUCUGGUGGGUUUCGAGGUGGAGACGAUUAAAGGCGGCUAGGGUUGAGGAAGGUUCAAGAGAAUCUGUAAGAGAAGAUGGGUUUCAAGGUGGUG